CUCAGGAUGAACGCUAGCGGCAGGCUUAACACAUGCAAGUCGAGGGGCAGCACGUCUUCGGAUGGUGGCGACCGGCGCACGGGUGCGUAACGCGUAUAGAACCUACCUUUUACAGGGGAAUAGCCCAGAGAAAUUUGGAUUAAUGCCCCAUAGUAUUAUUAGAUGGCAUCAUUUGAUAAUUAAACAUUUAUGGGUAAAAGAUGGCUAUGCGUUCUAUUAGCUAGAUGGUAAGGUAACGGCUUACCAUGGCGACGAUAGAUAGGGGUCCUGAGAGGGAGAUCCCCCACACUGGUACUGAGACACGGACCAGACUCCUACGGGAGGCAGCAGUGAGGAAUAUUGGACAAUGGGCGAGAGCCUGAUCCAGCCAUGCCGCGUGCAGGAAGACGGUCCUAUGGAUUGUAAACUGCUUUUAUACAGGAAGAAACACUCCCUCGUGAGGGAAUUUGACGGUACUGUAUGAAUAAGCACCGGCUAACUCCGUG
rnacentral:rRNA from 1 species